GACUAGCCUAAAGGUAGUGAGUUAUCUCAAUUAAUUGUUCACAGUCAGUUACAGAUUGAACUUCUUGUUCUACCCUUUUCCUCUCUUCUUACUACUGCAUUUGACUAGUCUUUA
rnacentral:Y_RNA from 1 species